AGCGAACGCUGGCGGCAGGCCUAACACAUGCAAGUCGAACGAACCUUUCGGGGUUAGUGGCGGACGGGUGAGUAACACGUGGGAACGUGCCUUUAGGUUCGGAAUAACUCAGGUAAACUUGUGCUAAUACCGAAUGUGCCCUUCGGGGGAAAGAUUUAUCGCCUUUAGAGCGGCCCGCGUCUGAUUAGCUAGUUGGUUGAGGUAAUGGCUCACCACGGCGACGAUCAGUAGCUGGUCUGUGAGGAUGGUCCGCCACAUUGGGACUGAGACACGGCCCAAACUCCUACGGGAGGCAGCAGUGGGGAAUCUUGCGCAAUGGGCGAAAGCCUGACGCAGCCAUGCCGCGUGAAUGAUGAAGGUCUUAGGAUUGUAAAAUUCUUUCACCGGGGACGAUAAUGACGGUACCCGGAGAAGAAGCCCCGGCUAACUUCGUG
rnacentral:rRNA from 1 species